GACGAACGCUGGCGGCGUGCUUAACACAUGCAAGUCGAACGGGAACCUUUAUUUCGGUAAAGGUGAGAGUGGCAAACGGGUGAGUAACACGUAGGCAACCUGCCGACAGGAUGGGGACAACAUUCCGAAAGGAAUGCUAAUACCGAAUGAAGUCACCGGAGGGCAUCCUCUGGUGAUAAAAGAUGGCCUCUGAAUAUGCUAUCGCCUGUCGAUGGGCCUGCGUCUGAUUAGCCAGUUGGCGGGGUAACGGCCCACCAAAGCGACGAUCAGUAGCCGGUCUGAGAGGAUGAACGGCCACAUUGGGACUGAGACACGGCCCAGACUCCUACGGGAGGCAGCAGUGGGGAAUCUUCCACAAUGGGCGAAAGCCUGAUGGAGCAACGCCGCGUGAGUGAAGAAGGUCUUCGGAUCGUAAAGCUCUGUUGCACGGGACGAAAACCGAG
rnacentral:rRNA from 1 species